GAAUUCGAUUCAGGCCUAACACAUGCAAGUCGAACGGCAGCACGGACUUCGGUCUGGUGGCGAGUGGCGAACGGGUGAGUAAUACAUCGGAACGUGCCCAGUCGUGGGGGAUAACGUAGCGAAAGCUACGCUAAUACCGCAUACGAUCUAAGGAUGAAAGCGGGGGAUCGCAAGACCUCGCGCGAUUGGAGCGGCCGAUGGCAGAUUAGGUAGUUGGUGGGGUAAAGGCUCACCAAGCCGACGAUCUGUAGCUGGUCUGAGAGGACGACCAGCCACACUGGGACUGAGACACGGCCCAGACUCCUACGGGAGGCAGCAGUGGGGAAUUUUGGACAAUGGGCGCAAGCCUGAUCCAGCCAUGGCGCGUGCAGGAUGAAGGCCCUCGGGUUGUAAACUGCAUGGUACGGAACGAAAAGGCUCUGGUUAAUACCCGGGGCUC
rnacentral:rRNA from 1 species